CUGUAUGCCGCCACUUGUGAAAUCGCACAAUCAGAGUACUUAGCACACCGAUCAAUAAUACAUACCAUUCCAAAGUCCUCACUUUACCAAGUGGCGGUGUAUAUUUACAACUCUUUGACUAUCUAAACCUAGAACAAUCGCAUUAAAAUAGUAUUUGUGUGGUGUAGCGGCAAAGUCCCACACAACAACACGAAAUCUCCAUUAAAGUAUACAACUAUAACUUCAAGGAGUAAUAAAUCAACCAUUUCUACAAAUUCAUGGACUAAAUUCAUAUUACUACUGCCAUCGUCAAGUCAUCGAAUAAAGUGCAUUGGUAUGGGCUGUGGAUUGUAGUUGAAAGGCUUCAUGAUUUUCAAGACGCCUUGUUCGGUCUACAUGUGAUUUUGUUUAUCAUACAUUCGAGUUGGACUCAUCAGUUUAAUCUUCUUUUAUACCACUUGAGAAGGACCACAAGCCUGACUUCAUAGCAAACAUGCCACUAUCAACUUUAGAUCUCAGACCGAAAAUCGACUACGCCCAAAACACGUAUGGCGACCAGAAAUACAACAUCAUGCAUCUCAUCAGCCUUUGCAACCAAGACUCCACCCAAUCACCAUGGCAACAGUCAAAGGGGAGUACCCAGAUCACCCAAAUACACAGCAUCAAACUUCCAACCUUGAACUCGUCGGGUUUCGCCAAUCAGAGCAGUGCAGUGUACGCGUCAUCUUCGCAGCCACGCCUUAAUCUACCGAGCGUUGGGCGUGGCAUGGUCCACAGUACGCUGAUGCCGUUUUCUUCGUACGGCAAACCGACGUGCGGCUAUUUCUUCACAAGGACGACGGAGCAUCGAAAAAUGAGGAUGGGGAUUCCCCCUAAAUUUGGGUACCUGAACGUUUCUGCACCGCCUAUGAGAUAAAUCGUCUUAAAAAUGAACAUAAUGAACAUAUUGAACAGAAUAAUAUGAACAGUGGUUUAGGUACUGCCAACAAAAACGUUUGAAAUAUUUUCGCUUAUAAGUUGUGUAUAUAAUGUACAUUGUUUUAUGAUGAAACAGCGUAUUAUGGCAUAAGAUGGUGGAGGCCAAUAUCAUUCAAAAUUCUAUGAAGAUAUUUUGAUCAAAUUACCCAUCUUCACUCAUGGCCAUACGCAGGAAUUCCUUUUUUUUGGGGGGGGACAAGAUGCUUAUUUUUUUAAAAGAAAUUCCAACGCGAGGAAGCGAAGGGACCGAAGCUCUCAUUGGGGCACGUUUGCAUUUUGAAAAAGUGAGAUUGAAAUAUUUCGUGCACUCUUUUUGGUGAUUUUUUGUUGAAAUUUUCAAAAUUUCUGCUCCACCCCCCCCCGCUGUGUACGGCCAUGUCUUGUUUGUUCUUUGGCUGAUUACUAGUAUACGAGCAAAAUUGGGUAUAAUAAGUUCGUUCAGGACUCUGAUUAUGGUCCGGAGAAGUCUAUUAUCAGCCUGGUAGGAGGUGGAUGCAAUAUCAUAAUGCUAUGUUAGGCAAACACAGAACAAAAUGUAUGUGACUUUUCUCUACUGUUCUUCUAUUCUCCCUAUUCAAACUAUAAAGACUUCUCAUUUUGAUAUGAAGUAAAAAAAUGGACAAUCAUAAGAGAUUAUAAUAUUGGCGAUGAUGAUGUUUAUGAUGAAAAGGAUAAGGCAAAAACAACGAAAAGAAUGGUGUGGUAAAGAUGAUGUUAUCAAACUGCAUUGUUAAUAAUGAUGAUGAUUAUAAUUUUUUUUUGAUGAUGAUAAAUUGUGAUAAAGAUAAUAGUAAUGAUAGUAAUAACAAUAAUUUCGUAUAUAAAAAAAUAAUGAUUAGAAUAGUAAUGGAAAUGGUGAUGCUGAUAUAUAAUAAUCACAAAAAGUGUAAAGUGAUUAUUAUCAAAAUGUACAAAUUUCUGUUACCUAUCAUGUAUAAAAAGCUAAUAUGCCAAAUCUUCUUUUAAAGUUGUGGUUCUUGUAAAAAAUAUCUGUGAAUGUUUUUUUUUAUUAAACCAUUUGUUUCAUGUAUUUUCAACAAUAAACUGAUGAUCGCAGUU